CAAAUUUCUGCCCUAUCAACUUUCGAUGGUAGAGUAGUGGUCUACCAUGGUUUCAACGGGUAACGGGGAAUUAGGGUUCUAUUCCGGAGAGGGAGCCUGAGAAACGGCUACCACAUCCAAGGAAGGCAGCAGGCGCGCAAAUUACCCAAUCCCGACACGGGGAGGUAGUGACAAUAAAUACUGAUACAGGGCUCUUUUGGGUCUUGUAAUUGGAAUGAGUACAAUUUAAAUCCCUUAACGAGGAACAAUUGGAGGGCAAGUCUGGUGCCAGCAGCCGCGGUAAUUCCAGCUCCAAUAGCGUAUAUUAAAGUUGUUGCAGUUAAAAAGCUCGUAGUUGAACCUUGGGCCUGGUGGCCGGUCCGCCUCACCGCGUGCACUGGUCCGGCCGGGCCUUUCCUUCUGGGGAGCCGAUGCCCUUCACUGGGUGUGUCGGGGAACCAGGACUUUUUACUUUGAAAAAAUUAGAGUGUUCAAAGCAGGCCUAUGUUCGAAAUACAUUAGCAUGGAAUAAUAGAAUAGGACGUGUGGUUC
rnacentral:rRNA from 1 species